GACAGAGGUGCCGAGCGUUUAGGCGGAAUCACUGGGCUUAAAGCGUGUGUAGGCGGGCGGGCAAGUACCUUAUGAAAUCCCCCGGCUCAACUGGGGAACUGCGUGGGAAACUGCGAGGCUUGAGUUCGGGAGAGGGAAGCGGAAUUCCGGGUGUAGCGGUGAAAUGCGUAGAUAUCCGGAGGAACACCGGUGGCGAAGGCGGCUUCCUGGACCGACACUGACGCUGAGGCGCGAAAGCUAGGGGAGCAAACGGG
rnacentral:rRNA from 1 species